UACGUAGGGGGCAAGCGUUGUCCGGAAUUAUUGGGCGUAAAGCGCGCGCAGGCGGUCUUUUAAGUCUUGUGUAUAAGCCCGAGGCUCAACUUCGGGAGGCAUGGGAAACUGGAAGGCUUGAGUGCAGAAGAGGAGAGUGGAAUUCCACGUGUAGCGGUGAAAUGCGUAGAUAUGUGGAGGAACACCAGUGGCGAAGGCGACUCUCUGGUCUGUAACUGACGCUGAGGCGCGAAAGCGUGGGGAGCAAACA
rnacentral:rRNA from 1 species